GCCAUCUGCUGGUCCAGCAUGCAUGACACACGAUCCAUCUUUCCUUAGAACUGGUCUCAUUUUAGGUCACAGCUCACCUUGGGCAUUCAUGAACCUGUCAGCCCUCUCUUUGUAUUCUGAUUCAUCCUAGCUGCAGGCAUCCCACAAACUGGCAGACACGUAGGGAAGCAUUGAGAGCACAGGUGGAGGGUAGAACGGACCUAGUGCCCUACUUAAACUGUGGAUACAUUUAAAUGAUAUAUACGCGAGUUAGAGAACGAUGUAAGGCCCGUGGUAAAUUUGAGAUAAGUAUUUGAUGUUGCUACUUCGCCACUUGUCUUCUUUGCAACCUAUGUGCCCUUUGCAGUUUGACAUGAAUGUGAUUUAUUUUAGCUAAAAUCCAAGCCGGCCCUAUUCCCUCUCGCUGUGAUCAUCCUCACAUGCCACCAUGCUACUUGGCGCUGGGAGCCUUGCUGCUCUGCUUGCAAUCCCAAGGGUGCGGAAAAUAAAUUUGACACAAUGUUUCUUUUGUCUCCCCCGACCCCCACUCCUUCGCCUGGCCAAUUGAUUCGGAGCUCUGUUUCUCCCCUGCUACGGCUGCCUCCAGGUCGAACUGAGAUUUCCGUAGUGCAUUAAGCUAAUUUGGGUAGUGAAUAAGGACAAGUCCAGAAAGCAGAUUCACAAAGCAGAGACUCACAGAAGCCGGGCUGAUGUGCUAUACUGUCUAGAAGCUGGCAAACCUGUCCUGGAUCCUCCUCAAAGCAUUCGGAUGAGACAAUGCCGCUUCCGGCUCACAGCAACAUUCCUGGAGAGACCUGCAGAUCCCUGGAGGCUACGGAAGCCUGGCAAGGAGCAACCACAGGGGAGCUAUGGUUCCCAGGCCUCAGAGGUGAAAGAGACAGUGGCUUGCAAAUGCAGCUACAGCAUCCGGUGUGGCAGAGGAGUUUCUGCGCUCUGGGUGGAGCAGAACAGGAAAGUUCAUGAAUCCAGCACGUCAGAGCAGCCUUUCUCCCCUAUUUACUCCGGUGACAUCGCGAGCACUCACUACUUUACUUUGUCUUAACGCUGGCUUGUUAACCUCUGUAUGGUGACUUUCUAGCCACUAGCCUGGAAGCUGCAAGGCAGACCAGAGGAGCGGUCUAAUUUGCCUGCUGAACGAAGGUCACUGCAUGUGGAAUUCAACUGGGAGCUAUGCUGUGUUCUUGAGUUCUGAGGUGCUCAGGGCAACACCGUUCCUCCUGCAACAUCUGGCAAGCUACAUUAAAGAAGCUGCAACCUUCCUUCUCAAGAAGCACAGACACAGAUCCUCAUUCCCAGCAAUGUUUCCUCGACUUAAUAUGAACCUGUCAAGGGCCAAGCAGGGAAAGCAUUUAGGUGGAAGUCAUGUCAACUAAACCUAACUAAAAUAGCAGCGGAGAGGUAUAGGCAGAGUUCUGUGAGGCGAGCAGCCCUUAGUCAUCAACCUGGUUAUUCCUUUUGUGGGAUUUAACUCUCUGAGCAGUAGCUGACUGAAAUUACAGUGCUCGGAGCCAUGUGCACAACACAAUGUUUGGCGGUGCCUAACAGCGGCUGAUAAAUAGGUACACUCUUCCAUGAGCUUCAGUCUCUUCUGUGCUCAGUGGGUAUCAAAGAACCAGGGAGUACAGUGUAUUAUCCAAUAAAGAGUUCGAUCCAGGAAAAGAAAACCGUAAGCACUUCUGCAUGCUGGUGAUAGAAUUCUAAUUUCACUUUUUAGAAUAACAGUUUUAUUACGGUAUAAUUCACACACCAUAAAAUUUACUUAUUAAAGUAUACAGUGGGGGAGGAUGUGGCAGCUUAAUAACUCUAUUUAGAGCAUUAUUCUCUACAGUUAAGUUCUUCACCCAUUAGCAAUCUCUCGGCGAGCAGUCCUCUUCAGCACUGGCCUCUAAUCCUCAUUCUGUAUCCAGAACAUUUUUAUCCUGACCACAAUCACGGAACCUUACGAUAUUUGCUAUUUUCUGACAUAUCCCAUAUACAGAGACUUUGAGUCCUAUCCAUGUCAUAGCAUAUGCCUAUAUUUCAUUCUUAUGGCUGAGUAAUAUUCCAUUUAGGGAUUUAGCGCAUUCUGUGUAUGCCCUGCUCAGUUAAUAAAUAUCCAAGAUGGUUGU